rnacentral:rRNA from 1 species
GGGCCCGCACAAGCGGUGGAGCAUGUGGUUUAAUUCGAUGAUACGCGAGGAACCUUACCAGGGCUUAAAUGUAGUGGGACAGGUCUAGAGAUAGACCUUUCUUCGGACUCAUUACAAGGUGCUGCAUGGUUGUCGUCAGCUCGUGCCGUGAGGUGUCAGGUUAAGUCCUAUAACGAGCGCAACCCCUAUCGUUAGUUGCCAGCGGGUCAUGCCGGGAACUCUAGCGAAACUGCCGGUGCAAACCGAGAGGAAGGUGGGGAUGACGUCAAAUCAUCACGGCCCUUACGUCCUGGGCCACACACGUGCUACAAUGGCCGGUACAGAGAGCAGCCACUACGCGAGUAGGAGCGAAUCUACAAAACCGGUCUCAGUUCGGAUCGCAGUCUGCAACUCGACUGCGUGAAGCUGGAAUCGCUAGUAAUCGC